GGUGAUGUAGGUUGGUCAUGCCUCUGGUAUGUACUGGUCUCACUGAUUCCUCCUUCCUGAUGAACCGUAAUGCCAUUAAUUUGGUGUUUUGGGAAAUUUGGACUGUUACUUUGAAAAAUUAGAGUGUUUAAAGCAAGCUAACGCUUGAAUACAUUAGCAUGGAAUAAUGAAAUAGGACGUUCGAUCCUAUUUUGUUGGUUUCUAGGAUUGACGUAAUGAUUAAUAGGGAUAGU
rnacentral:rRNA from 1 species